rnacentral:hammerhead_ribozyme from 1 species
AUCUAGCUUAAAAGUCCCAAAUAGGACGGAGCAUGCGUCCUAGAU